rnacentral:rRNA from 1 species
UACGUAGGGGCUAGCGUUAUCAGGAAUUACUGGGCGUAAAGGGUGCGUAGGUGGUUUCUUAAGUCAGAGGUGAAAGGCUACGGCUCAACCGUAGUAAGCCUUUGAAACUGGGAAACUUGAGUGCAGGAGAGGAGAGUGGAAUUCCUAGUGUAGCGGUGAAAUGCGUAGAGAUAUGGAGGAACACCAGUGGCGAAGGCGGCUUCCUGGUCUGUAACUGACACUGAGGCGCGAAAGCGUGGGGAGCAAACAGGAUUAGAUACCCCCGUAGUCCCUGAGCGGG